rnacentral:rRNA from 1 species
GAUGAACGCUGGCGGCGUGCCUAAUACAUGCAAGUCGAGCGAACAGAUGAGGAGCUUGCUCCUCUGACGUUAGCGGCGGACGGGUGAGUAACACGUGGAUAACCUACCUAUAAGACUGGGAUAACUUCGGGAAACCGGAGCUAAUACCGGAUAAUAUAUUGAACCGCAUGGUUCAAUAGUGAAAGACGGUUUUGCUGUCACUUAUAGAUGGAUCCGCGCCGCAUUAGCUAGUUGGUAAGGUAACGGCUUACCAAGGCAACGAUGCGUAGCCGACCUGAGAGGGUGAUCGGCCACACUGGAACUGAGACACGGUCCAGACUCCUACGGGAGGCAGCAGUAGGGAAUCUUCCGCAAUGGGCGAAAGCCUGACGGAGCAACGCCGCGUGAGUGAUGAAGGUCUUCGGAUCGUAAAACUCUGUUAUUAGGGAAGAACAAAUGUGUAAGUAACUAUGCACGUAUUGACGGUACCUAAUCAGAAAGCCACGGCUAACUACGUG